UGAAGUUGUCUUCAAAAGCAGUAUCCUCAAACGAUACUUGGCAGAAAAAGCUUAUAGAAUUGUAGCAAGAGUUCAAUGACGAGAGCAGAUUACUACACGUAAGAUUAAAAGCGAGGAGUACUGACUUCGUCUUGCUUUGCUUCAUUCAACCCGCUUAAGACUGUAAGUUGCAUUCUUCAUUCAUUUCACAUGGCUGAAAAUGAUAAUAUUGAUAAGUAGCCGAUGAAAGUAAAGAUUCUGAGUCUACAGUUGCAACUACUCACUCGACAGUUUCAA
rnacentral:lncRNA from 1 species